UACGGAAGGCAGCAGUGGGGAAUAUUGCACAAUGGGCGCAAGCCUGAUGCAGCCAUGCCGCGUGUAUGAAAAAGGCCUUCGGGUUGUAAAGUACUUUCAGUCGUGAGGAAGGUGUUAAGGUUAAUAACCUUAGCAAUUGACGUUAGCGACAGAAGAAGCACCGGCUAACUCCGUGCCAGCAGCCGCGGUAAUACGGAGGGUGCGAGCGUUAAUCGGAAUUACUGGGCGUAAAGGGCACGCAGGCGGUUAAUUAAGUUGGAUGUGAAAUCCCCGGGCUUAACCUGGGAAUGGCAUUCAAGCUGGUUAGCUAGAGUCUUGUAGAGGGGGUAGAAUUCCAUGUGUAGCGGUGAAAUGCGUAGAGAUGUGGAGGAAUACCGGUGGCGAAGGCGGCCCCUGGACAAAGGACUGACGCUCAUGUGCGAAAGCGUGGGGAGCGAAACAGGGAUUUAGAUACC
rnacentral:rRNA from 1 species